AAACUUACAACAACGGAUCUCUUGGCUCUGGCAUCGAUGAAGAACGCAGCGAAAUGCGAUAAGUAAUGUGAAUUGCAGAAUUCAGUGAAUCAUCGAAUCUUUGAACGCACAUUGCGCCCGCCAGUAUUCUGGCGGGCAUGCCUGUUCGAGCGUCAUUA
rnacentral:rRNA from 1 species